AAAAAGUUAUCAUUAAUUCUUUUGUAUUGACAUUUAAGCAACUUCCCUAUUUCAUGGUGUACCAAACAGCCAAUAUACAUACUACCUGCCAAUUGAUCUAAAAUUGGCCACUAUUGUAGAUUCAUCUAGAAAUCAUAUAUAAUUAAAUUAGACAACUUUGUUAUAAUGAAGUGAUGAUCUGUCGCAGAUGAAGUUCGAGGUUUUGUUCAUCAGAGUAGGUGCUCAUAAGUGCUCACCUAAAUUCCCUAUCCCUAUAACAUAUAGCUGAAAAAAAUUGAUACUUAAAUGGAUUUCAAAUGUGUAUUGAAAGGGAAUUUAUCAUCAAAAUAAGCAGGAAAAAAUCUGUUUUCUAUACAUAGGUUACAGUUGAUAUUCCAUCCAAACGUUAUGUCCGUCCCGAUCCUCACAAACAUAUCAAUAUCUGGUUGUUAUCUACAUUUUAUUUUUCAGACUUGUAUUUGUUCAGGAUUACAUGAUAUGUAUGAAUGGUAAAUGUACUACAAAGCAUGAAAUGAAAUAAAUAUUUACUGCAUUUACAUGU
rnacentral:misc_RNA from 1 species